AGUGAACGCUGGCGGUAGGCCUAACACAUGCAAGUCGAACGGCAGCACAGUAAGAGCUUGCUCUUACGGGUGGCGAGUGGCGGACGGGUGAGGAAUACAUCGGAAUCUACUUUUUCGUGGGGGAUAACGUAGGGAAACUUACGCUAAUACCGCAUACGACCUACGGGUGAAAGCAGGGGAUCUUCGGUCCUUGCGCGAUUGAAUGAGCCGAUGUCGGAUUAGCUGGUUGGCGGGGUAAAGGCCCACCAAGGCGACGAUCCGUAGCUGGUCUGAGAGGAUGAUCAGCCACACUGGAACUGAGACACGGUCCAGACUCCUACGGGAGGCAGCAGUGGGGAAUAUUGGACAAUGGGCGCAAGCCUGAUCCAGCCAUACCGCGUGGGUGAAGAAGGCCUUCGGGUUGUAAAGCCCUUUUGUUGGGAAAGAAAAGCAGCAGGUUAAUACCCCGCUGUUCUGACGGUACCCAAAGAAUAAGCACCGGCUAACUUCGUG
rnacentral:rRNA from 1 species